UGUUGGCUGUGAGGAUAAUUAUUCAGCUUUAAAUGCCAGUUCUGCUUCUGAUAAAUACUGAUUGAUAGAGCUGUAAUGUGUUCUGAGCCAUUG